GAUGAACGCUGGCGGCGUGCCUAAUACAUGCAAGUCGAGCGAACGGACGAGAAGCUUGCUUCUCUGAUGUUAGCGGCGGACGGGUGAGUAACACGUGGAUAACCUACCUAUAAGACUGGGAUAACUUCGGGAAACCGGAGCUAAUACCGGAUAAUAUUUUGAACCGCAUGGUUCAAAAGUGAAAGACGGUCUUGCUGUCACUUAUAGAUGGAUCCGCGCUGCAUUAGCUAGUUGGUAAGGUAACGGCUUACCAAGGCAACGAUGCAUAGCCGACCUGAGAGGGUGAUCGGCCACACUGGAACUGAGACACGGUCCAGACUCCUACGGGAGGCAGCAGUAGGGAAUCUUCCGCAAUGGGCGAAAGCCUGACGGAGCAACGCCGCGUGAGUGAUGAAGGUCUUCGGAUCGUAAAACUCUGUUAUUAGGGAAGAACAUAUGUGUAAGUAACUGUGCACAUCUUGACGGUACCUAAUCAGAAAGCCACGGCUAACUACGUGCCAGCAGCCGCGGUAAUACGUAGGUGGCAAGCGUUAUCCGGAAUUAUUGGGCGUAAAGCGCGCGUAGGCGGUUUUUUAAGUCUGAUGUGAAAGCCCACGGCUCAACCGUGGAGGGUCAUUGGAAACUGGAAAACUUGAGUGCAGAAGAGGAAAGUGGAAUUCCAUGUGUAGCGGUGAAAUGCGCAGAGAUAUGGAGGAACACCAGUGGCGAAGGCGACUUUCUGGUCUGUAACUGACGCUGAUGUGCGAAAGCGUGGGGAUCAAACAAGAUUAGAUACCCUGGUAGUCCACGCCGUAAACGAUGAGUGCUAAGUGUUAGGGGGUUUCCGCCCCUUAGUGCUGCAGCUAACGCAUUAAGCACUCCGCCUGGGGAGUACGACCGCAAGGUUGAAACUCAAAGGAAUUGACGGGGACCCGCACAAGCGGUGGAGCAUGUGGUUUAAUUCGAAGCAACGCGAAGAACCUUACCAAAUCUUGACAUCCUUUGACAACUCUAGAGAUAGAGCCUUCCCCUUCGGGGGGGCAAAGUGACAGGUGGUGCAUGGUUGUCGUCAGCUCGUGUCGUGAGAUGUUGGGUUAAGUCCCGCAACGAGCGCAACCCUUAAGCUUAGUUGCCAUCAUUAAGUUGGGCACUCUAAGUUGACUGCCGGUGACAAACCGGAGGAAGGUGGGGAUGACGUCAAAUCAUCAUGCCCCUUAUGAUUUGGACUACACACGUGCUACAAUGGACAAUACAAAGGGCAGCGAAACCGCGAGGUCAAGCAAAUCCCAUAAAGUUGUUCUCAGUUCGGAUUGUAGUCUGCAACUCGACUACAUGAAGCUGGAAUCGCUAGUAAUCGUAGAUCAGCAUGCUGCGGUGAAUACGUUCCCGGGUCU
rnacentral:rRNA from 1 species